rnacentral:rRNA from 1 species
CAUGCAAGUCGAACGAACCUUCGGGUUAGUGGCGGACGGGUGAGUAACGCGUGAGAAUCUGCCCUCAGGAGGGGGAUAACAGUUGGAAACGACUGCUAAUACCCCAUAUGCCGAGAGGUGAAAUGAAUUUCGCCUGGGGAUGAGCUCGCGUCUGAUUAGCUUGUUGGUGGGGUAAUAGCCUACCAAGGCUUCGAUCAGUAGCUGGUCUGAGAGGACGAUCAGCCACACUGGGACUGAGACACGGCCCAGACUCCUACGGGAGGCAGCAGUGGGGAAUUUUCCGCAAUGGGCGAAAGCCUGACGGAGCAACGCCGCGUGAGGGAUGGAGGCCUUUGGGCUGUAAACCUCUUUUCUCAAGGAAGAAGAUCUGACGGUACUUGAGGAAUAAGCCACGGCUAAUUCCGUGCCAGCAGCCGCGGUAAUACGGGAGUGGCAAGCGUUAUCCGGAAUUAUUGGGCGUAAAGCGUCCGCAGGCGGCCGUUUAAGUCUGUUGUUAAAUCGUGGAGCUCAACUCCAUCACGGCAAUGGAAACUGUUCGGCUUGAGUAUGGUAGGGGCAGAGGGAAUUUCCGGUGUAGCGGUGAAAUGCGUAGAUAUCGGGAAGAACACCAGUGGCGAAAGCGCUCUGCUGGGCCAUUACUGACG